rnacentral:rRNA from 1 species
CCUACGGGAGGCAGCAGUGAGGAAUAUUGGUCAAUGGCCGGAAGGCUGAACCAGCCAAGCCGCGUGAAGGACGACGGUGCUAAGGGUUGUAAACUUCUUUUGUCGGGGGGCAAAGUCAGGCUCGAGUGGCUGAUUGAGGGUACUUGAAGAAAAAGCAUCGGCUAACUCCGUGCCAGCAGCCGCGGUAAUACGGAGGAUGCGAGCGUUAUCCGGAUUUAUGGGGUUUAAAGGGUGCGUAGGCGGAGGUUUAAGUCAGCGGUAAAAUUCCGGGGCUCAACCCCGGCCUGCCGUUGAAACUGGAUGCCUUGAGUGGGCGAGAGGUAUGCGGAAUGCGCGGUGUAGCGGUGAAAUGCAUAGAUAUCACGCAGAACUCCGAUUGCGAAGGCAGCAUACCGGCGGGGAACUGACGCUGAGGCACGAAAGCGUGGGUAUCGAACAGGAUUAGAUACCCCAGUAGUC